rnacentral:rRNA from 1 species
UACGUAGGGGGCUAGCGUUGUCCGGAUUUAUUGGGCGUAAAGAGCGUGUAGGCGGCCAGGUAGGUCUGGUGUGAAAACUCGAGGCUUAACCUCGAGGAUGUCAUCGGAAACCCAUCUGGCUAGAGUCCGGAAGAGGAGAGUGGAAUUCCUGGUGUGAGCGGUCCGGUAACCGGUUCCUUGGAAGGCCAAUUCCGGAAUCCGGAAUGGUUAACCAAG